AAGAUAAAAGCAACAUUGAAUUUUACAUGGAGACACAUGAAGGGAAUUGCCCCUUUCCAUCUCCAAAAGCAUGGAUUGUUCCAAAUUGUCUUGGUAAAGUGUAUCUCAGAACUUUUGUCAAUAUACGAUGGAUAUCCAAAGUCUACAAAUAGUUUUGACCAAAAUAAAUCAGGACAAAUUGUUUUCCACCAUUAGUAUGGCCUAUCACCUAUUCCAAUGGGGAGAAAAAAAAUCAAAGGAAAGAAA